AGUAAGAUGAUGAGCUAAAGUGUUCUGAAUUUCAUGUGGAAGCACAUAAAACAAUGGUCUACAAAGUUCUCUGAUUGCU